rnacentral:lncRNA from 10 species
CCACACUCACAUCAUACAUAUGCACAUGUGCACACACACAGGCAUGCACACACCACACAACACUCACCCACACUCACAUCAUACAUACGCACAUGCACACACACACAGGCAUGCACACAUCACACAACACUCACACCCACACUCAUGUCAUACAUACACAGAUGCACACACAUACACACACAGGCAUGCACACACCACACAACACUCGCAUCCACCCUCACGUCAUACAUAUGUACAUGCACACACAUACACAUUCAUGCACACAUCCAAACACACACACCCCACACAUCAUACAUAUGCACAUGCACACACACACAUUCACACAAAC